GACGAACGCUGGCGGCGUGCUUAACACAUGCAAGUCGAACGGUAAGGCCCUUCGGGGUACACGAGUGGCGAACGGGUGAGUAACACGUGGGUGAUCUGCCCUGCACUUCGGGAUAAGCCUGGGAAACUGGGUCUAAUACCGGAUAGGACCACUGCCUGCAUGGGUGGUGGUGGAAAGCUUUUGCGGUGUGGGAUGGGCCCGCGGCCUAUCAGCUUGUUGGUGGGGUGAUGGCCUACCAAGGCGACGACGGGUAGCCGGCCUGAGAGGGUGACCGGCCACGAUGGGACUGAGAUACGGCCCAGACUCCUACGGGAGGCAGCAGUGGGGAAUAUGGCACAAUGGGCGCAAGCCUGAUGCAGCGACGCCGCGUGAGGGAUGACGGCCUUCGGGUUGUAAACCUCUUUCAGCACCGACGAAGCGCAAGUGACGGUAGGUGCAGAAGAAGGACCGGCCAACUACGUGCCAGCCGCCGCGGUAA
rnacentral:rRNA from 1 species